UGCAACAAAAAAUUCAAAAAAAAUGUCAAAGAACGUCAAAAGGCAAGAAAAGUCAUGGUCUGAAGAGAUAAAGCAAUCAUUGGAACCAGAUAGAGACAUGACACGUGUCAGAAUUAUCAGACAUGGAACUUAUCAUUAAUAUGUUAAGAGCUCUCAUGAAAAAAAUAGACAACAGAUGGAUAAUGUAAGAAGAAAGAUGGAAACACUAAGAAGGAAUAAAAAAGAAAUGGUAGCAAUAAAAAACAUAGUAAUAGAAAGGAAGGAUAUCUUUGAUGCAAUUAUCAGUUGACUUGGAACCCCGAAGGAAGAAUGAAUGACUUUGAAGCUAGGCCAAUAGAAACUUUUCAAACUAAAAUUCAAAGAGUGGGAAAAACCCAGAAUAUUCAAGACUAUGGAAUAAUUGAAGAAGAAGAAAGAAUGGAGCAAAAGAAUGUUAGAAGUAAUAACGUCUGGGAACUUGCCAAAAUUAGUGAUAGACACCAACUCAGGUAGCUCAGAUAACACUAAAUAGAAUAAAUACCAAAAAAAAGAGGGGAAAAGGAGAAAAACCUAGGUUGAUCAAUGAAAGAUAUGCCACGAGAGAAAAUUAAAUCAUGUAAAAACCCCAGUUAAAAUCAGAGAACACAGAAAAAGGAGGAUAAAAAAGAAAGAACGAGUGCAAGGAUAGAAAAGUUACAAACAUAGUAGAUAUUAAUCCAACUAUAUCAAUAAUCACUUAAAUUUGAAUAAUCUAAAUGUACCAAUUAGAAGUGGUGGGUUUAAACACACAAAAAAGAUGAAUGUUAGAGGUGACAGAUAUCACGAUUACCCAAUAUGAUCAUUACAUAUUGUAUACAGGUAUCAAAACAUCACAUGUACCCCCCAAAUAUAUACAACUCCUAUAUAUCUACAACAUUUUUAAGUAAGAAAAGUGGGGAAAUUACAAAUAGACGCAACUAUACAUUGUCUAUAAGAAAGGCACAUUAAAUAUAAAUAUUUAGAUAAUUUAAAAUUAAAAGGAUAAAGAUGUGAGAUGCUAAUGUUAAUUUUUUAAAAAACUGAAAGUUAUGUUAAUAUCAGAAAAAGCAGACAGAACAAGAAAGAUUAUCAAGAAUAAAAGGGACAUUACAUGUGGUAAAGGGGUCAAUUCUCCAAGAAAACCUAACGAUUCUGAAAGUAUAUGUACUAACAAGAGUAUCAAGAUACAUGAGACAAAAACUAACAAAACUGCAAGGAGAAAUAGAAAAAUCCACUAUUUUACUUGCAGUCUUUAACGAGACUUGAUCACUUGAUCUGUCAGUAUGUGAUAGAUCAAGAAGAGGGAAAAUCAGAAAGGAUAUAGAUAAUCUGAACGGUGGUAUCAAUCAGUUUAAUCUAAUGGACAUUUGUAGAAUAUUACACUCAACAGCAGAAUGAACAUUCUUCUUAAGAUCACAUGAAACAUUCUACAAGAUAGACCAUAUUCUGGGCCAUAAAAUACACCUGAAAAAUUUAAAAGAAUAGAAAUUAUACAAAGAAUGUUUUUAAAACAUGAUGAAAUUAAGUUAGAAAUCUGUAAGAGAUAUAAAGUAGAAAAAUCCCAAAAUAUAUAGAGAUUAAACAACACAUUGUAAAUAAUUCAUGGCUCAAAGAAGAAAUAUCAAAAGAAAUUUUAAAAUAUUUUGGACUAAAUGAAAAUAAAAAUAGAGCUUACCAAAACUUGUGGAACAAAGUGAAAUUUAUAGCAUUAAGUGCCACUAUUGGAAAAGAAAACAACAUAUAAAAUCAAUAAUCUAGGCUUCCACCUUAAGAAACUAAGGAGGCCGGGCGCGGUGGCUCACUCCUGUAAUCCCAGCACGUUG
rnacentral:lncRNA from 10 species